UGAGUGGCGGACGGGUGAGUAACACGUGGGUAACCUGCCCAGAAGCAGGGGAUAACACCUGGAAACAGAUGCUAAUACCGUAUAACAGAGAAAACCGCCUGGUUUUCUUUUAAAAGAUGGCUCUGCUAUCACUUCUGGAUGGACCCGCGGCGCAUUAGCUAGUUGGUGAGGUAACGGCUCACCAAGGCGAUGAUGCGUAGCCGACCUGAGAGGGUAAUCGGCCACAUUGGGACUGAGACACGGCCCAGACUCCUACGGGAGGCAGCAGUAGGGAAUCUUCCACAAUGGACGCAAGUCUGAUGGAGCAACGCCGCGUGAGUGAAGAAGGGUUUCGGCUCGUAAAGCUCUGUUGUUAAAGAAGAACGUGGGUGAGAGUAACUGUUCACCCAGUGACGGUAUUUAACCAGAAAGCCACGGCUAACUACGUGCCAGCAGCCGCGGUAAUACGUAGGUGGCAAGCGUUAUCCGGAUUUAUUGGGCGUAAAGCGAGCGCAGGCGGUCUUUUAAGUCUAAUGUGAAAGCCUUCGGCUCAACCGAAGAAGUGCAUUGGAAACUGGGAGACUUGAGUGCAGAAGAGGACAGUGGAACUCCAUGUGUAGCGGUGAAAUGCGUAGAUAUAUGGAAGAACACCAGUGGCGAAGGCGGCUGUCUGGUCUGUAACUGACGCUGAGGCUCGAAAGCAUGGGUAGCGAACAGGAUUAGAUACCCUGGUAGUCCAUGCCGUAAACGAUGAUUACUAAGUGUUGGAGGGUUUCCGCCCUUCAGUGCUGCAGCUAACGCAUUAAGUAAUCCGCCUGGGGAGUACGACCGCAAGGUUGAAACUCAAAAGAAUUGACGGGGGCCCGCACAAGCGGUGGAGCAUGUGGUUUAAUUCGAAGCUACGCGAAGAACCUUACCAGGUCUUGACAUCUUCUGCCAACCUAAGAGAUUAGGCGUUCCCUUCGGGGACAGAAUGACAGGUGGUGCAUGGUUGUCGUCAGCUCGUGUCGUGAGAUGUUGGGUUAAGUCCCGCAACGAGCGCAACCCUUAUUACUAGUUGCCAGCAUUCAGUUGGGCACUCUAGUGAGACUGCCGGUGACAAACCGGAGGAAGGUGGGGACGACGUCAAAUCAUCAUGCCCCUUAUGACCUGGGCUACACACGUGCUACAAUGGAUGGUACAACGAGUCGCGAAACCGCGAGGUUUAGCUAAUCUCUUAAAACCAUUCUCAGUUCGGACUGUAGGCUGCAACUCGCCUACACGAAGUCGGAAUCGCUAGUAAUCGCGGAUCAGCAUGCCGCGGUGAAUACGUUCCCGGGCCUUGUACACACCGCCCGUCACACCAUGAGAGUUUGUAACACCCAAAGCCGGUGGGGUAACCUUUUAGGAGCUAGCCGUCUA
rnacentral:rRNA from 1 species